UAGAGAGGGGCGUUUCACUGAUUUGUAAGAAACUAUAGGUAAUAGAGGUCACUAGGACCCAGAUCUCCCUUAUAAAAUAGCUAAGGCAAAAAAAGAUUUGAGAAUCCAAAAGGUUAGAGAACAACUAAUGCAAAGCCAAGCAAGAACCCAAACAAGAGGAACUGUUUUGAUGACAAAGCUCAUCUUCUUAAGGUAGCUAGACUGGACUGGACCCAUCAGAGCUCCAAGACUGGAAAGACAGAUGCCAAUUUUGUGGGGAGCCUCAGAGGAGUUGGGAUGUUGGACACAUGAGCCAACCUGAUCUUUGGCUGGAGAAGAAACUGGGAGCUAAAGGAUCUCUUCCUGAUUACGUGGUGCUGUGGAGGAAGUAGUGAUUCUGAAACACUGGAAGCCAGAAGACAGUGGAGGAAAAUCUUCAACCUACUGAAAGAAGACAGCUCUCAACCUAGAGCUCUAUUCCUAGCAAAAACAUUGUUUGAGGAAAAAGGCCUCUCUCUGUCACCUAGGCUGGAGAGCAGUGGUGCAAUUACAGCUCACAGCAGCCUCAACUUCCUGGGGUCAAGUGAUUCUCCUACCUCAGCCUCCCAAGUAGCUGGGACUACAGGCAUAUGCCACCACAUCCAGUUAAGUGUGUGUUUGUGUGUGUGUGGGUAGACAGCAUCUCACUAGGUUGCCUAGGCUGGUCUCAAACUUCUGGGCUCAACUGAUACUUCUGCCUCAGGCUCUCAAAGUUCUGGGAUUACAGGCAAGUUGCUGCAUUUUUAAAAUUACAUUUUAUCAGUUAAGAGCGUUCGCUAGUUAUUGUUUUCUAUAUAUGUUUAUAAUAAAUACACAAUAUAUUUUUUACAAAAGUCUUUUCUGCAUUUGUUUAGAUUAUAUAUGAGUCUUUAUUCUGUUACUAUGGUGAAUUACACUGAUUGACUUUCAUAUAUUAUACCAAACUCACAUUCCUAAAACAAAAGCAACUUAGUCAUGACAUGUUAUCAUUUUUAUGUAUUUCUAGAUUUUAUUUGAUAGCAUUUUGUUUAAAAGAUUUGAACCUAUGUUUAUGAGUUAGAUUGAUCUGUAAUCUUUCCUUUUAACAUCCCUAUCAGGUAUUGAUAUCAACACUCCUGGCUUUAUAAACUGAGUUGGGAAGUAUUUCUCCCCAUUUUUUUUUUCAGUCUUGGAAACAUAUAAUUUGUUUCUAUGUUUUUGAGAAUGGUAUUGUUUCUUAAUUAUAUAGUAGAAAAAAAGUAUGUUGAAGUCUUUGCCUAUGAACAUAAUAAUUUUGUCAAGUUUGCGUUGUAGUUCUGUCAAUGUUUGCUUUGUGCAGCAUACACAUUUGGAAUUAUUAUCUCUCUCUGAUGAAAUGAUUAUUAUCACUACAAAGUAUCCCAGCUUGCUUUGAAUAAUGUUUCUUGUCUGCAUCUGAUAUUAAUCUAGCAAGAUCAGCUUUCUUGUUAACAUUUGCAUUGUUAUAUCUCCCUACCCUUUUUACCUUCAGACUUCUGAAAUCUUACAUCUUGGGUCAUCACUUGUAAGAAGCAUAUAGUUGUUGUGUUUUAGUCAUGUCUCAUAAUAUUUGUUUUUAAGUGGUCUCCUACAGUUCAUUUAAAUUUAACAUCAUAACAUGUAUUUGUGAUUACAUCUACAUCGUAUUACUUUUCAUUUGUCUUGCUUAUACUUUAUUCCUUUUUCUCUCCCUUUUUGCCUAAUUUUGGACUAAUUAUCUGUUAGUAUGCCAUUUUCCAUUACCUUUAACUCAGUAAUUCUACACUCUCUUUUUUUUAUUAACUUUCAGUCCAUUAAGAGUUUAUUUUGGGUAGGCAUCUGGGAUCUCCUUCUUUUUGUGUGUCCCCUUUCUUUUCUGUUUCACUCCCAUUCUAUUUUGUUUAUUUCAACAGAUUUUGGAGUACAAGUGGUUUUUUGUUAGAUGAAUGAAUUAUAUGGCAGUGAAUUCUGAGAUUUUAGUGCACCAUCACCCAAGUAGUAUACACUGUGCCUAAUGGGUGUUUUUUAUCCCUAGCCCUCCUCCCCUAUUACUCUCUGAGUCGCUAAAGCCCAUUAUAUUGUAUUACCCUGCAUGCCUUUGCAUACUCAUAGCUUAGCUCCCACUUGUAAGUGAGAACAUGGUUUUUGGUUUUCCAUUCCUGUGUUACUUCACUUAGAAUAUUGUCCUCCAGCUCUAUCCAAGUUGCUGAGAAAGACAUUAUUUCCUUCCACUUUAUGGCUGUGUACACUCUUUUUCUAUUCUUUUAGUGAUUUCACUAGAUGAAAACAAGCCCUUUGUACUUACUAAGUCUAAGGUUUCCUGCGACUCUUACCAUUUCUCAGACAACUCAGGAACAUUAGAACACUAACUCAUAUCUUCCCCUCUUGACUUACAAGCUAUUCUUAUUAUGUACUUCAAUUCCAUACCUACUCAUAAUGAGAGCUUAAUUUUAUUGAUUUACACAGAAAAAUUCACUGGAUCACUCUCAUAUAUGCUUGUUUUUACCUCUUCAUUCUUCCUCGUGUCUAUGAAUUUUCACCUGAAAUCAAGGAUUUUUUAAUGCCUGAAGAACGUGCUGUAUCAGAGGCUGAUUUGCUGUGAAUAUAUUAAAACUUAAGUUCCAUAAAAUUUUUCUGACAGGGACCCCUUUUCCAGUGUGCUUACAUGAUUAAAUACUUUUGUAAAAUUUGAAAAAUAAGAUAUUUCAGCUGAAAUGAGUUUAAGACCACUUUCCUUUGCACUAGGGUUUCUUGUUCAUCAGACUUCCCUUCAUAACAAAUAAUACUUGAUUGGACAUAAGCUAGGGGAAGUGGAGUUGCACACACAUUUGGCUUGGGUUUAGAAUACAUUUUUAAAUUUCUUGUCACCUCUGUGUGUAGCUAAAUAGUUUCUAGCUAUUUUUUGGAUACUCCUACCCUUUGUUGUGCUGACUCACCUGACAUCAGGACACGAAGAUGGAAGGCUGAGGUAGUUAAUAAAUAUGCUGUGCUUUUGCCUGUGUGAAAAAAACAGAUACAUGUAUCCUAUGGUGUUCAGCAUUGGGAAUAUGUGGUUGUGGAAGAAGAGGAAGAGGAAGAAGAAGAAGGAGGAGGAGGAAAAAGAAGAAGGAGGAGGAGGAGGAAAGGAGGAAAGAAAGAA
rnacentral:lncRNA from 1 species